rnacentral:ncRNA from 1 species
ACUAACGUCUAAAGUAUAUUGGACAGCUAUAAAGAAAUUUAUAGUAAAAAAUAUGGGGUUAAAAUAGGGAAGCCUAAGUCCUUAAUGGAUAUGGUAAUCUAUUGCCACUUUAUUUAGAAAUAAGUAAAAGGCUUAACGACUAGAUUAGUAAUCUAAGUCCUUAAUGGAUAUGAUGAACGUCCACGAAAUCCCACACCCUAACGCAUUGUCGAGGGUGAUGAAAUAGUCUGAACUAUAUAGAAAUAUAUAG